rnacentral:rRNA from 1 species
UUCGCCCUUAGAGUUUGAUCCUGGCUCAGGACGAACGCUGGCGGCGCGCCUAACACAUGCAAGUCGAACGAGCGAGAGAGAGCUUGCUUUCUCGAGCGAGUGGCGAACGGGUGAGUAACGCGUGAGGAACCUGCCUCAAAGAGGGGGACAACAGUUGGAAACGACUGCUAAUACCGCGUAAGCCCACGGGUCGGCAUCGACCAGAGGGAAAAGGAGCAAUCCGCUUUGAGAUGGCCUCGCGUCCGAUUAGCUAGUUGGUGAGGUAAUGGCCCACCAAGGCAACGAUCGGUAGCCGGACUGAGAGGUUGAACGGCCACAUUGGGACUGAGACACGGCCCAGACUCCUACGGGAGGCAGCAGUGGGGAAUAUUGCACAAUGGGGGAAACCCUGAUGCAGCGACGCCGCGUGGAGGAAGAAGGUCUUCGGAUUGUAAACUCCUGUUGUUGAGGAAGAUAAUGACGGUACUCAACAAGGAAGUGACGGCUAACUACGUGCCAGCAGCCGCGGUAAAACGUAGGUCACAAGCGUUGUCCCGAAUUACUGGGUGUAAAGGGAGCGCAGGCGGGAAGACAAGUUGGAAGUGAAAUCCAUGGGGCUCCACCCAUGAACUGGCUUUCAAAAACUGUUUUUCUUGAGUAGGGCAGAGGUAGGCGGAAUUCCCGGUGUAGCGGUGGAAUGCGUAGAUAUCGGGGGGAACACCAGUGGCGAAGGCGGCCUACUGGGCACCAACUGACGCUGAGGCUCGAAAGUGUGGGUAGCAAACAGGAUUAGAUACCCUGGUAGUCCACACCGUAAACGAUGAUUACUAGGUGUUGGAGGAUUGACCCCUUCAGUGCCGCAGUUAACACAAUAAGUAAUCCACCUGGGGAGUACGACCGCAAGGUUGAAACUCAAAGGAAUUGACGGGGGCCCGCACAAGCAGUGGAGUAUGUGGUUUAAUUCGACGCAACGCGAAGAACCUUACCAAGUCUUGACAUCCCUUGACGAUGCUGGAAACAGUAUUUCUCUUCGGAGCAAGGAGACAGGUGGUGCAUGGUUGUCGUCAGCUCGUGUCGUGAGAUGUUGGGUUAAGUCCCGCAACGAGCGCAACCCUUAUGGUCAGUUACUACGCAAGAGGACUCUGGCCAGACUGCCGUUGACAAAACGGAGGAAGGUGGGGAUGACGUCAAAUCAUCAUGCCCUUUAUGACUUGGGCUACACACGUACUACAAUGGCGUUAAACAAAGAGAAGCAAGACCGCGAGGUGGAGCAAAACUCAGAAACAACGUCCCAGUUCGGACUGCAGGCUGCAACUCGCCUGCACGAAGUCGGAAUUGCUAGUAAUCGUGGAUCAGCAUGCCACGGUGAAUACGUUCCCGGGCCUUGCACACACCGCCCGUCA